CACAAGAUAAGCUAUGUUGUUUAAGACAUCUCUUUUGUUCAUUCUUUUAUUCAAUAGACUUUUCAAUAGACCUUUACCGAAGAGCUGGCUAUGUCACUGAGAAUGGAGAGAAAUAGGUCAUAAGGUAGCACUGCAUAGGGAACUCUGUGGUGAUCAUCUCCAGUGUCAUAGCUCUGAGGGUCCAGAACUAUUCUCUGGAGGAAGCAGGGACAGGCAAGCUACCAGGGACAGAGCCAUGGGCCACUCCAAUAUUUAGAGGUCAGGGAAGAUGAAGAACACCAGGAAAGGAGAAUGGCAAGAACCAUCUGGAACUGUAAAGAAAAAUUACGCAAGUGUCCUGGAAGCUGGAAAAUGUGUCAAGGCAGAGCAAGCUCAACAGUGUAAAAUGCUACAGAUAGUAAAUAAAGAUGAGGACUGAGACAAGAUCAUUGUAUUUUGCAAUGUGGAGAUUAUUGGUGACCUUGAAAAGAACAGUUUCACUGCUGUGGUAGAAGCAAAACCCUGGUGGGAGUAUGUUCAGGAGAAAGUUGGAGGAAGGGAACUAGAGACCCUGAAUGUAGACAACACUUUCAAGAAAUUUUGCCAUAAGUUAAAGGGAUAAAAUGGGGGCAGUGGCCACAGGGGAAGUUAGAUCAAAGAGUUUUUUCUCCAACUUUUUCCAAAUGUUCAAACUUACGAAAAAGUUGAAGGAGUACUACAUUACCCAUAUAGGUACUUCACCUAGUUGUAGCAAUUCUUGACAUUUUGCCACAUUAACUUUCUCUCCAGAGCCAAGGGGUUUUUUAAAAAGCCUUUUAAAAGUGUGAAAUACAAUGCAUACACAGAAUGGUUAACAAAAAUAUAUGUAAUUCAAUGAAUGAUCAUAAAGCAAACACUCAUGUAACUACCACCAAUAUCAAGAAAUAGAUACUGCUGGCCAAAGCCCCUUGUGCCCCUCCUUCCCAUCAAAAGUUAACCACCAUCCUGAAUUUUCGUAAUAAUGACUUAUUGCUUUCCUAUAACUGCAUAAUAAUGAAUUCCUAAACACAAUAGUUUAGUUUGUGCCUGUAUUUGAGCUUUAAGAAUGCGAAAAUAGAGCAAUAUCCUUUUAUAUCUGACUUAUUUAGCUCUAUAUGUUAUGUUUGUUUCUUCAUUGUAUACUAAUCUAUAAUAAAAAUACGUCACCAUUUAUUAUUCA